rnacentral:misc_RNA from 1 species
GGUAUAACCCCAAUUCCCGACGAAGAAAUCGAAUUGAACAGACCUUUCAUUCUGUCCGAUGCCCAGAAAUCCUUCGAAGAAAAGUCUGCAGACUCUAACAGGCUUUUCCUUAUGGAAUAUGAUGAUAUAAAGAAACUAAGUCAAAUUGAGGGACGGAAGCGGACAACAAAUGCAGCAAAUAUCGACGCCAAUAAAGCCAAGAACCGAUAUGUUAACAUUUUAUCCUAUGACCACAGUCGAGUCAAACUUCGGAUGAUUGACGACGAUCCGUGCAGUGAUUACGUCAAUGCUAAUUAUAUCAUAGGGUACACGUAUGAGCGGGAAUACAUCGCCAGUCAGGGCCCGCUUCCUGGGACGGUGAACGACUUUUGGCGGAUGACGUGGGAGCAGAGCGUCACUAUCAUUGUGAUGCUAACAAAGUGCAAAGAGGGGAACACGGAUAAAUGUGAACAUUACUGGCCUGAUACAGUUAAUGAACCCAAACAAUAUGGCGACAUCGUGGUUAAUCUAAUAUCUGUGUCAAAUAUGGACAAAUUUGACAUAAAUAUCUUCCAGGUUUCUCAGGGAGAUUACACUCGAACCAUUAAACACUUCCACUUCCUUGAGUGGCCCGAUUUCUCGGCCGCCGUGGAUUCUACAGUGGUGAUUGAUUUCAUUCAGACAGUUAGAACUCACAUCACACCGGAAGUCAAAGGUCCACUUCUAAUUCACUGCAGUGCUGGGGUGGGACGAACUGGUACAUAUAUCACUAUAGACUACUUACUACAAUUCGUUCGGGACCACGACCUUGGUCAGUCUGUAGAUAUCUUUGCCUGGGUUGUACAGAUGCGCAAAAAUAGAGUUUCCAUGGUGCAAGUAGAUAAACAAUAUAUAUUCAUACAUCGAGCCUUAACGGAACUGAUAGAUAGGAAACGGAACGGUCUUCUUCAGAGUCAAGAUGACACAACUAUUUUAAAUGAAAUAGUGUAUGAAAAUACUGCAUUCCAGAGCGAUGAUGAUGAAGAAGAAGAGGAAGAAGAAGACGAAGAUGAAGAGGCGGAUGCAAUGUACGAGAAUUCCAUGAAGAAAGUCCCGGAUGAACAUACAACAGAGCUGUAGUUGCCACAUGGCUAGCACGUGAUCAUUCUGAAGCCGUCACGUGACCAAGAACUACUGUUUAGUCAAAACAUCACGUGACGGGAAUUUUCAGCAGCCGUUGAUCAAAAAAGCAUCAACCAAUCCAUGUCACCCCAUACUGACUCAUAUACAGUCCAAUGUCUUCCUUUUGUGGGGAAAUGAAUAUUGCAUUUAAUGAUGAACGCUUUUUUAAUUGACUGCUAAGCGUUCAUAAAGUUAUAGAAAAAGUAACGAAUUUUUCAAUUUUAUUUUUUUUAACAGUAUGUAACUGAUAUAAUUUCAUGUGUGCUUGGUGGUUUAUGUAUAGUUUGUCAACAUUUUUUUUCUUUUUUCAUUUUUUAAUUGAAACGUUGCUUUAGAUAUCAUUUAGAUUACGACAAAAUGAAUGGUCAUUAGGCCCAAAGAUUUAAAUUAUAAAAUGACGGGGUGCUGUUUAAAUACUUUUCAAACCCAUUGCACUUAGAAAUUCGGUAUUUGAUACUGGAACUGUUCUUUACCUGAUGUAAUAUAUUUUUUGAGUGAAAAUAAGCCUAUGGAUUAUCAUAGUAAAGCAGUAAAUACUUUUGAGCCAUGCAUCAAAAACUUAAUUGUGUUUUUCUAGUCAUUUAUGUUUGAAUCUAGAAGAUAAUAAAUAGGGGACAGCUCGUCCCCCUGUGUAUGUGUGUUUCACAGUGUGAAUGCGUUUUGUAUGAUGCAUAAUCUCAUUUUAUUUUUAUAUGACUUUAUAUAAUUGCAAAGCAAGCUUUUAUAAUGUUUCUAUUCUCAUUUUCAUUAAAAUAAAAAAAAAUAGACUUG